CGCUGGCGGCACGCCUAACACAUGCAAGUCGAACGCAGUAGCAAUACUGAGUGGCAAACGGGUGAGUAUAAUGUGGGAAUCUGCCUUUUGGUUUGGAAUAACACGGGGAAACUUGUGCUAAUACCGAAUAAGCCUUUACGGGGAAAGUUUUAACGCCGAAAGAUGAGCCUGCACUUGAUUAGCUAGUUGGUAAGGUAAAAGCUUACCAAGGCAACGAUCAAUAGCUGUUCUUAGAGGAAGACCAGCCACAUUGGGACUGAGACACGGCCCAGACUCCUACGGGAGGCAGCAGUGGGGAAUCUUGCACAAUGGGGGAAACCCUGAUGCAGCGAUGCCGCGUGAGUGAAGAAGGCCCUUGGGUUGUAAAACUCUUUCGUCGGGGAAGAAAAUGACUGUACCCGAAUAAGAAGGUCCGGCUAACUUCGUGCCAGCAGCCGCGGUAAUACGAAGGGACCUAGCGUAGUUCGGAAUUACUGGGCUUAAAGAGCUCGUAGGUGGUUAAAAAAGUUGAUGGUGAAAUCCCAAGGCUCAACCUUGGAACUGCCAUCAAAACUUUUUAGCUAGAGUGUGAUAGAGGUAAGUGGAAUUUCUAGUGUAGAGGUGAAAUUCGUAGAUAUUAGAAAGAACACCAAAAGCGAAGGCAACUUACUGGGUCACUACUGACACUGAGGAGCGAAAGCAUGGGUAGCGAAGAGGAUUAGAUACCCUCGUAGUCCAUGCCGUAAACGAUGUGUGCUAGACGUUGGAAAUAUAUUUUUCAGUGUCGCAGCGAAAGCAUUAAGCACACCGCCUGGGGAGUACGACC
rnacentral:rRNA from 1 species